ACUUAAAUUGAAGAGUUUGAUCAUGGCUCAGAUUGAACGCUGGCGGCAGGCCUAACACAUGCAAGUCGAGCGGUAGCACAGAGAGCUUGCUCUCGGGUGACGAGCGGCGGACGGGUGAGUAAUGUCUGGGAAACUGCCUGAUGGAGGGGGAUAACUACUGGAAACGGUAGCUAAUACCGCAUAACGUCGCAAGACCAAAGUGGGGGACCUUCGGGCCUCAUGCCAUCAGAUUGAACGCUGGCGGCAGGCCUAACACAUGCAAGUCGAGCGGUAGCACAGAGAGCUUGCUCUCGGGUGACGAGCGGCGGACGGGUGAGUAAUGUCUGGGAAACUGCCUGAUGGAGGGGGAUAACUACUGGAAACGGUAGCUAAUACCGCAUAACGUCGCAAGA
rnacentral:rRNA from 1 species